CUACGGGUCGCUGCAGUGGGGAAUCUUAGACAAUGGGGGAAACCCUGAUCUAGCCAUGCCGCGUGAGCGAUGAAGGCCUUAGGGUUGUAAAGCUCUUUCAGCUGGGAAGAUAAUGACGGUACCAGCAGAAGAAGCCCCGGCUAACUCCGUGCCAGCAGCCGCGGUAAUACGGAGGGGGCUAGCGUUGUUCGGAAUUACUGGGCGUAAAGCGCGCGUAGGCGGACUAUUAAGUCGGGGGUGAAAUCCCGGGGCUCAACCCCGGAACUGCCUUCGAUACUGGUAGUCUUGAGUUCGAGAGAGGUGAGUGGAAUUCCGAGUGUAGAGGUGAAAUUCGUAGAUAUUCGGAGGAACACCAGUGGCGAAGGCGGCUCACUGGCUCGAUACUGACGCUGAGGUGCGAAAGCGUGGGGAGCAAACAGGAUUAGAUACCCCAGUAGUC
rnacentral:rRNA from 1 species